rnacentral:tRNA from 1 species
UCCUUGGUGGUCUAGUGGCUAGGAUUUGGUGCUCUCACUGCUGUGGCCUGGGUUUGAUUCCCGGUCAGAUCAGGGAA